rnacentral:rRNA from 1 species
ACGCUGGCGGCAGGCCUAACACAUGCAAGUCGAGCGGUAGCACGGGAGAGCUUGCUCUCUGGGUGACGAGCGGCGGACGGGUGAGUAAUGUCUGGGAAACUGCCUGAUGGAGGGGGAUAACUACUGGAAACGGUAGCUAAUACCGCAUGACCUCGCAAGAGCAAAGUGGGGGACCUUCGGGCCUCACGCCAUCGGAUGUGCCCAGAUGGGAUUAGCUAGUAGGUGGGGUAAUGGCUCACCUAGGCGACGAUCCCUAGCUGGUCUGAGAGGAUGACCAGCCACACUGGAACUGAGACACGGUCCAGACUCCUACGGGAGGCAGCAGUGGGGAAUAUUGCACAAUGGGCGCAAGCCUGAUGCAGCCAUGCCGCGUGUGUGAAGAAGGCCUUAGGGUUGUAAAGCACUUUCAGCGAGGAGGAAGGCGUUGUAGUUAAUAGCUGCAACGAUUGACGUUACUCGCAGAAGAAGCACCGGCUAACUCCGUGCCAGCAGCCGCGGUAAUACGGAGGGUGCAAGCGUUAAUCGGAAUUACUGGGCGUAAAGCGCACGCAGGCGGUUGUUAAGUCAGAUGUGAAUCCCCGAGCUUACUGGAACUGCAUUGAAACUGGCAAGCUAGAGUCUUGUAGAGGGGGGUAGAAUUCCAGGUGUAGCGGUGAAAUGCGUAGAGAUCUGGAGGAAUACCGGUGGCGAAGGCGGCCCCCUGGACAAAGACUGACGCUCAGGUGCGAAAGCGUGGGGAGCAAAC